AUUGAACGCUGGCGGCAGGCCUAACACAUGCAAGUCGAACGAGUGGCGGACGGGUGAGUAAUGUCUGGGAAACUGCCCGCUGGAGGGGGAUAACUACUGGAAACGGUAGCUAAUACCGCAUACCAUCGGAUGUGCCCAGAUGGGAGUAGCUAUUAGGUGGGGUAACGGCUCACCUAGGCGACGAUCCCGAGCUGGUCUGCGAGGAUGACCAGCCCCACUGUAACUGAGACACGUUCCCGCCUCCUACGGGAGGCAGCAGGGGUGAAUAUUGCACAAUGGGCGCAAGCCUGAUGCAGCCAUGCCGCGUGUAUGAAGAAGGCCUUCGGGUUGUAAAGUACUUUCAGCGAGGAGGCGUUACUCGCAGAAGAAGCCCCGGCUAACUCCGUGCCAGCAGCCGCGGUAAUAC
rnacentral:rRNA from 1 species